UCCUAGCCCUGAUUGCAGUGGAAAUCCCGCAGUGAGGCGGCGGAGCGAAGCCGACCGAGCGAGGAAUUGCAACGGAAAGCAGGUUCCCGG
rnacentral:sRNA from 1 species